rnacentral:misc_RNA from 1 species
UCCGGUUUGGCACCGGCAGUCUCCCAUGAGUCCCCGGCAUUACCCGCUGGCAACAUGGGACAGGGGUUGCGCUCGUUGCGCCACUUAAGGCAACACCUCACGGCACGAGCUGACGACAGCCAUGCAGCACCUGUGCCGGCCCCCGAAGGGGCGCCGUGUUUCCACGGCUUUACCCGGCAUGUCAAGCCCUGGUAAGGUUCUUCGCGUCGCGUCGAAUUAAGCCACAUGCUCCACCGCUUGUGCAGGCCCCCGUCAAUUUCUUUGAGUUUUAACCUUGCGGCCGUACUCCCCAGGCGGUGUGCUUACCGCGUUAGCUGCGACACCGAAGAGCUAGGCUCCCCAACGUCUAGCACACAUCGUUUACAGCGUGGACUAC